rnacentral:rRNA from 1 species
UGCGUAGGUGGAGUGGUAAGUCAGUGGUGAAAUCUCCAAGCUUAACUUGGAAACUGCCGUUGAUACUAUCAUUCUUGAAUAUCGUGGAGGUAAGCGGAAUAUGUCAUGUAGCGGUGAAAUGCUUAGAUAUGACAUAGAACACCGAUUGCGAAGGCAGCUUGCUACACGAUCAUUGACACUGAGGCACGAAAGCGUGGGGAUCAAACAGGAUUAGAUACCCUGGUAGUCCACGCCCUAAACGAUGAUUACUCGACAUCAGCGAUACACUGUUGGUGUCUGAGCGAAAGCAUUAAGUAAUCCACCUGGGAAGUACGAUCGCAAGACUGAA